GGAUAUAGCUCAGUUGGUAAAGCGCUUGCCCUGGAUAUACAAGGCCCUGGGUUCAAUCCCCAGCACCA
rnacentral:tRNA from 1 species